GAUGAAGAACGUAGCGAAAUGCGAUAAGUAAUGUGAAUUGCAGAAUUCAGUGAAUCAUCGAAUCUUUGAACGCACCUUGCGCCCUUUGGCUAUUCUGAAGGGCAUGCCUGUUUGAGUAUCAUGAACACCUCAACUCUCAUGGUUUGCCAUGAUGAGCUUGGACUUUGGGGGUCUUGCUGGCCUACGGUCAGCUCCUCUCAAAUGAAUCAGCUUGCCAGUGUUUGGUAGAGUCGCAGGUGUGAUAACUAUCUACGCUUGUGGUUUUCUGCCAGAUAACCUUCAGUGAUGGAGGUUCGCUGGAGCUUAUAAAUGUCUCUCCCCAGUGAGGACAGCUUUUUGAACGUUUGAUCUCAAAUCAGGUAGGACUACCCACUGAACUUAAGCAUAUCAAUAAGCGGAGGA
rnacentral:misc_RNA from 1 species